rnacentral:rRNA from 1 species
AUGGCGCAGGCGGCCUUCCUCCACUUCGACGCCCUGCUCGGCACCGCCGCCGAUCGCGAGCAUUCCCUGGACCUGUCGCGGCUCAUUGAGCCGACAGACCUUGCCGACCUCAACGAGUCGUUCAGCAUGGAGGAGAUAUGGGAGGCUGUCAAGCGCCUUCCCGCGCACAAAGCGCCGGGCCCCGACGGAUUCACGACGGAGUUCCUCCGCGCGUGCUGGAGCAUCAUCAAGCAAGACUUCCUUGACGUGUUCCAACAGCUCUACAACCUGCGAGGAAGAGGGUUCAGCAAGCUGAACCAGGCGCUGCUGACGCUGCUCCCUAAGCACGCCGCCGCCCACGGUCUGCGCAACUAUCGGCCGAUCAGCCUCAUCCACAUAGUAGCCAAGCUAUUUGCCAAAGUGCUUUCAAUCCGCCUCAGCGCCAAGCUAGACCGCCUUGUCAGCCGCAACCAGAAUGCAUUCAUCCCGGGACGAAGCCUACAUGACAACUUUGUCCUCGUCAAGCAGUCGCUCAAGAUGUACCGACUGGGAGCUCCGCGAGUUAUGCUCAAACUCGACCUCACGUGCGCCUUCGACUCCAUAUCUUGGCCAUUCCUCUUCGAGGUUUUGCGCCAAUACGGAUUCAGGAACCGCUUCAUGGAAUGGACAGCCAUCCUCCUGUCAUCUUCCAGCACGCGCAUUCUCAUGAACGGCGAGCUCGGACCACCCAUCUGGCAUCGACAAGGGCUCCGGCAGGGUGACUCUAUGUCCCCACAGCUCUUCGUGCUCGCCGUCGACACACUUGGACGGCUCUUGGGACGCGCCCACAGCUUGGCCAUCCUGCAGCCGCUGCACCCGUGUCGGAACAUCCCGGUGAUCUCCCUAUACGCCGACGACGUCAUGAUCUUCUGCCAUGCCACGGCUGACGACGUUGCUGCGGUUAGGGAGAUCCUCGCCCUGUUUGGCAGGGCCUCUGAACUCCAGGUGAACUUCGCCAAGAGCUCCGCUACUGUCUUGCAUGGCGACCAGACGGCCACGGAGACGAUCGCGCACCUCAGCUGCCCAGUGGUGACACUCCCUAUCACCUACCUCGGCAUCCCCCUGUCCACGAGCCGUCCAUCUGCCGCCCAGCUGCAGCCCAUGGUCGACGCGGUCGUCGCGCGCCUCCCAUCCUGGAAGGCUUGGCUGAUGACCAAAAUCGGGCGCCUGGCACUAGUUAAAUCGGUCCUGUGUGCUAUCCCGGUGCAUCAACUGCUCGCAUUUGCGCCCCCCAAGAAGACCAUCAAGCAGCUCGAGAAGAUCCAGCGCGGAUUCCACCGGGCCGGGCGCGCUGCCACCAACGGAGGGCACUGCCACGUCAACUGGAGCCGCGUCUGCCGCCCCAUCGAGCUUGGGGGGCUAGGCGUGCGCGACCUUGAACGCGCCGGCCUCGCUUUGCGGCUGCGAUGGUUGUGGUUCGCCAAAACGAGCCCCGAGCGAGCAUGGCAAGGGCUCGGUCUCCCGUUCUCACCCACGGAGCGCGUGUUAUUUUGGGCAUCCAUGACCAUGGCCAUCGGGAAUGGGCAGACCGCCCUGCUCUGGGAGGACCGCUGGAUCAAUGGCCAAUCCGUCCGCGAACUCUUGCCCAAUCUCUACGAUUGCAUACCCAAGCGACGGCGCAUGGCAAGAACCGUGGCGAACGGGCUGAUUGGCAACUCCUGGGCACGCGACAUUCACGGCAACCUGGGCUUGCACGAUAUUGGGCAGUACCUGCAGCUAUGGCAGGUCAUGCAACGCACGGUGCUCUCCGCCGCCCCGGACCAGCUGAUUUGGAAAUGA